AUAGUAUAUCUUGUGUCCAGCACUGCUGUUGGGCUUUACCUUAAGGUAAGCCCAAGGCAUCCUAGGUGUUGGGAUGGAUCAUCACCUAUUUAAGUGGGCCAAAGAGUUAAUGGAUGGAGAAACAGGUGCAGUUGGUGGCUGGCACAAGCAGCUCUUGGAGCAGACAUUGGGCUGAGGUUUCCUCUUCUCUUUGUAGGGGUGCCUCCCAUCCAUGUCCGAGGGACCCAAUUCCGAGCUGAGUGCUUGGAGAAGGUUACGCAGUGCAUUUUUCUACACACUACUCAAAGCAGAGGAGGCUACUUAGGAUUGAAUUUGGAAAAUGACUUCAACAACCACCUUUACUCUGGUGUACCUGCCAGUCUAAAUCCCUUCUGAAAAAGUGUGAGCACAUGUGUUUUAACAGAUGCAGCCUCUGUGACGACUUGUGACUAUCAGUCAAUACCAUGGGCCUGGAGAAGGAGGAGCUUAUGUUCAGUUUCCAGGCUGAUUUCUUAGAGAAUAAGGGAUCUGUGGAGAUCAUGAGAAAGGAUUUGAACGAUGCUCGAGAUCUGCACGGCCAGGCGGAGUCCGCUGCUGCUGUGUGGAAGGGCCAUGUGAUGGAUCGGAGGAAGAAGGCACUGACCGAUUAUAAGAAGCUGCGGGCCUUUUUUGCCGAGGAGGAAGAGCAUUUCCUGCAGGAGGCAGAGAAAGAGGAGGCACCGGAGGAUGAGGGGGCUGAUCCUGCCGAGAGAUUCAAAUCCCUGCUGCAGGCUGUCUCCGAGCUGGAGAAGAAGCAUCGCAACCUGGGCCUGAGCAUGCUGCUGCAGUGAUGGCGCUGGUCCUGAAGGAGGAGGGAUCCUUUAUGGAGCAUGAGGCAGAAGAAAGCACUUCUACACACCAGCCCAAAGGCCCUUUCUUUACCUUUCCUCAGGUCUCCUUCUAGGCCUCUGCCCAUUCUCCAUCCCACGGCUGUCUCCACUUGAACCGUAAAUGUGUAGAUAUGGGGAAAGCACCUGUAGGUACUUCUGUCAUUGUCCAAGAUAGUAAUUUUCAACCAAGUAUUCAUUUUCCAUUUUCUUUGAAGUGAUACUAUUAUUGAGGCUGCAAACUUUUAUUUUUCUUAGUAAAGGCUUGUCAUGAGGGCGACGAGCUCAUUUGUAUUGUAUUUCUUCAUAAACUGCCGCUAAUAAGGCUUUCAUCAGAAAUGUAUCUGGAGUCUUAGUCACCUGUGGUGAUAGUCUGGAUUCUUGUGCUUUGGGAGAUUUCUCUUAGAUACUAAGUGGACCAGGCACUGUACCUUUUUAAUGAUGCUUAAGUCAGGGUUGCUUUAUUAGACAUUCAUACCCAGGCCCAGAGAUUGCUUAGCAUAAGUUGGGUCAGUUAAGGUUAAAUUUGGGGUUAGCUUCAAGGAGAAGUCAUUGCAAAGGAGGCAUCCUGACUCCUGGGUCAGGCAGGAGGGAGGUAUUUGAGCUUUUUGUGUGUGUUUGGUCAGGCCUUUUACCAACAGCAAGUAAGAGCUUGUCUACCGUCCACUGUCCUUCUGGCUCUCACCCUCCCUGACAGUAGGCUCCCACAGAAAGAUGUGUCUACAGUGCAGAGUCUGCAGAACUGCCUCCGCAGGCUUCCACGUGGGCCCAGGGACUGCGUGGAUCUACACCGAUGCAGAUAGGCAUCAGUGUUGGCAACAAGCCCUCUCCUGUGAGCUUCUGCCAAGGCUUCUGUAACACUGCUUCCCCCUAUCAUCCGUUUGUGAGUGGAACCUAACUUUUCAGGAAAAAGAAAUAGGAGGAGGAAAGUGGGUGAGGCCAGGAGGCAGGCAGGAACAAAGGAAGGUAGGGAGGUCCGAAGAAUAUCGUAUCUUUGACCCCUUGUGUAGGAGAGGUCCAUCUCUUGAGGUGUGUCUGGUGGGAAUGGGGUAGGUACCCUUGCUCAUUAUCUUUGUACUUCUUUAUUUUUCUUUUCUGCUGGCCAGCUUUCCUCUUGUUAUAUUUGCCCAACGUAGAUUUUUCACUUAUUUUCUUAAUUCUCUGUGCUGUCUAAAGCCAACUGGAGUGCUUUGGGUCCUUGAGGAAAAUCAGUGUUGAACUGGACAUCUGAGGCCAUCAGGUCCUGCGUUGGCAGUCCAUCUGUGGACAGCUCUGAGCAGCUCCAGGCUUCACUGUGGAAUUUCAUCGCACUGCAUCUCACUGCCUUUCAUUGCUUUAUAUUUCCUGUAAUAUUGUAAUUAAGUGAAAUGUGUGGCUUUGUCGUAGUUCACUGCCUGCAGCAUCAUUGUGUACAGAUCAGCCUGAUCUUGAGACAAAUAAGUGUUGAGGGUUGUAUGGGUUGAGCACUUGAGUGUCAGCGUUGUUGUAGUACAGGAUACCGCUCUGAACCUCAGGAGGUUCCAGAUUUCUCACUAGGUAGGUGACUGUUGUGAUGAAGAGAGAAGACUUCCUCGUGGCGCCAUUGUUUUGCAAGAAGCAGGCGGCAUCACCAUCUUCAUUCCUUGGUCAGCAGAGCCUCAGGUGUGACGGCCUCAAGAGUCUGCCUAAGGACAUCAACAUCACUCAUUGCAGGUCAUGGCCCCUCUCCGUCCCUUGUGAGAGCCAUGAACAAACUAAGAUGGGUCCUGCCUGAAAAGUAGUCUGGGAGAGUAACAGCUGGUGACCUGGGCCAAAGGAAGACCUAGGAAACAGAUGGCUUCUUUCAUUACAUCAACUGGAACCAGUAUGAAUCCAACCCUAUUUGUCAUUGACUCGUGUGUUAGACCGGAUUGACAAGAGAAACAGAUCCAGUGACACUCAUAUGUAUAAGGAAGAGCUUUAAUUUAAGAAGAUGGUGAUGGAACGAUAACAACAGAACGGGGAGCGAUUAUGAAGCCUCUUGGGCAGAAUCCCACAGAAACAAAUCUACAAGACACGAUUAAUGAAGUAGAGGCUGAUGGUAAUGGCACAAUCGACUUCCUUGAAUUUCUGGAAGGCAAGAGAAGUGAAGGGCACAGACAGUGAAGACGCAAUUAGAGAAACAUUCCGCGGGUGGCAAUGGCUAACAGUGCAGCAGAACUUUGUCACCCGAUGACAAACCAUGGAGAGAAGUCAACAGAUGAAGAGUUUGAUGAAGCAGAUAUUAAUGGUGGUGGUCAAGUAAACUAUGAAGUUUGUACAGAUGACAGACAACAGCAAAGAUAAUAUAUUGUACAGACUGUUAAAUUUCUUAUAUAAAAUUAUUCACUUGUC